rnacentral:rRNA from 1 species
GAUGAACGCUGGCGGCGUGCCUAAUACAUGCAAGUCGAGCGAACAGAUUAGGAGCUUGCUCCUCUGACGUUAGCGGCGGACGGGUGAGUAACACGUGGAUAACCUACCUAUAAGACUGGGAUAACUUCGGGAAACCGGAGCUAAUACCGGAUAAUAUAUUGAACCGCAUGGUUCAAUAGUGAAAGACGGUUUUGCUGUCACUUAUAGAUGGAUCCGCGCCGCAUUAGCUAGUUGGUAAGGUAACGGCUUACCAAGGCAACGAUGCGUAGCCGACCUGAGAGGGUGAUCGGCCACACUGGAACUGAGACACGGUCCAGACUCCUACGGGAGGCAGCAGUAGGGAAUCUUCCGCAAUGGGCGAAAGCCUGACGGAGCAACGCCGCGUGAGUGAUGAAGGUCUUCGGAUCGUAAAACUCUGUUAUUAGGGAAGAACAAAUGUGUAAGUAACUAUGCACGUCUUGACGGUACCUAAUCAGAAAGCCACGGCUAACUACGU